rnacentral:lncRNA from 1 species
GCUGGCAAACUCGAGGUGGGGUCAUCCCUUGGGUGGAGAAUGGGAAAAAACAGGUUUGCUGUCUUCCUUGGUCUGGUUAUUUGAAGCAAUAACCAAGAAGUGGAGAGAAGAAGAAAGGAUGGGAGGAAAUCUUGGGAUCUGCCAAAGUUAAGGAAAUUAAUAUUAGAUAAACUCUUCCAUGCAGAGGUGCUUUUCCCUUGUGAUGUUGCCGGCACAGUGGGAAGCUCAGUACAGAAUUUCCUGACACAGACUGAGCUAAAAGGAGCCAUUGCUAAAAAUAUACCAAAAAGGAGGCUCAUGGGGACCUUGAGGGGGAUUAUUUCUUCUCCCUGAACUUCACAGCAAUACCCCUGUUUUUUUGAGGGUCCUUUUGUGGCAGCCUGCCAAGCAAACCAGUCACACUGAAGUCCAAGGAUGUAUUUGAAACCCUUGCAAAGAUACCACAUUAAAAAUUAACACACCCCAAAACAAACAGAGGGAGAUUCUCCAGAAGUUCACCCCUUGAAUGAAAUUUGUGUUAUCUUUGCAGCACAGCUUAGCCUUUCCUAAUUUCCAGCUGCUUGGUAAAGCUUCAGCCUUGGAUUUUUUUUUUUUUCUUCAUUCUAACUUUCAAAUGAAAACCCACCAAAUUAUUUGGUAUGGGGGGCAAGGUAAAGCACAGACUGGGAUGGGGGGAGGAAAGACUCCAGACCCAGCAUCUCCCAGGAAAAUUUUGUCACCUGUUUCACUGUUGUGCUCAGCAGCAGCAAAGCUCCUUGUCAAACCAUACCCCACCAGCUCUCCAGCCACACUUGCAGCAGCACCAAAUCCAUCUCCAGAGGAGUGUAUUGCAGAGCUGUCCCGCCUUUGCUGACACAGGCUUCCAGACACGCACAUGUGGUGGGAUGCACAGCAAAAGGCUGGAAUCCUGGAAUUACAGCCCAGCACCUUUUCUGAGUAUGACAUUGGGUCCCAGGUAUCCAUUUGGUGCAUUUGGCACAACGAUUUUACAUCUGAAAAUAAUGACAGAGAUAUUAAAAAAUUAAGGAAAUUCACUGUUUCACAAUCUUUUCUCACGACUUUGAAUUCUUCCUGUUAAUUUCUCCAUCUUUUGACAGUGCCUUUUCAAACCAUGAUCAAUGGCCCCAUCUGCUUGGCAAUGAGAAGUGGAGUCUCAGUCUUUGAUGAGGACUUGCAGGGCUCCAAGACCUUCGAUGGUCACUGGUGGGAGAUCACAUUCAGGCAACCCCAGGGAUCCUCCUGGUCUGGCAGCCUAUGGAUAAAAUCUGUGUGAGUGACUUAAUAUCCUCAAAAAAUUGCCAUGGUGAGUAAUCCCCUGAGAUUUGGUGUUGCCCUCAUAAACACAGGCUGUCCUUUUUUAUAUUUAAACAUCAAAGGAUGCCAUUUGCUUUUAAAGUGAUGUUUGCUGUUAAUAUUCUGCUCCUACAGGCCAGUUGGAUCAUGGGGAGGACACAGUCAUCUCAAAAUAAAGGUCUGCUCUGCUGACUGAUAGCCUUGAAA